UUUUUUAUUGUAUAGUGUAUAGUAGGUUCCUUGAUUAAAAGUUAACUAUUUCAAUCCUUAAAAGAUACCAAGAUAAAAACUAAACUACUGUAUAAUAUUACCACCAGCUCCACAAAAAGGAUCCAACACUAUGUUAUUUUUACAACGCUUUGCUAUAUGAUAACUUAAUACCUCCGGACAGACCGAAUAGAAGCUCUCUGUAAAUAUAAAACAAUGUUUAAAAACAUAAGAUUUAAACAGAAAAUAGUUGAAUUACCUGUGUCCAAAAGAAUACCGCGAUCAAAAUUUGUAAAUAACAAGUGCCUCAUUAACCAGUAUUUAAUAGGCAACUGUUUAUCUUGAUGAAGAUUAUUGGUGUUUUUUCGGCAAUUCAAUUGAUUUGACUAUAAAAUAGUUGAUGAUUAAUUAUUUGCACAACAAAUGGAAUUAAAAUUUUGAAAUUAUACUCAAGAGCUA